rnacentral:sRNA from 1 species
AGAAAUCCUGAGAGAUUUUCAAGAAGCUAGAAGUUAAGACAUCUUUGGUCUUUGUAUGUGAAGGAAAAACUUGAAUCUUAUUCCUUUCGAUCUAGAGAUAGAAAGAACUUUUAAAAGAUUUUGAAGGGAAAAUUUGCAAGUUCAAAAUCUAUACCAAAUAAUGGAUGAAAAUAAUAAUAAUCAUGGUAACAAGUAGAACUUUGAUUUUAGUUGUGAUUUCUUGAGAAAAUGAGUUGGUAAUUGUGUGAGAAUGUUUGUGGCAGCAAAGGUCCUCAAAGAUUUGAAAGAAAUAGAUGCAUGCAUGUGGGUCAAUCUUGGAAUGCAUGGUGAUUUUGGAGCUAGAUAAGCAAUAGAUAGUGAUUGACCUAGCAUGCAAUCAUCGGCACUUAUGGUCCACUGUGAAUAGGUUAAGGUAUCUCAUAACAUUUUCUUCUGAGUCACUCCGCUGCUAGAGGUCGAGUCCUACAUAGCAUAAUUUGAUUAUAAAUAGUGUUAAUGUAAAUGUAUGGUUGGAUAUUAAAGACCUUGAUGUACUUUUACAAUUAUGUUGAAUAAAAGUUGAGUUGAUUUAUUA